GUUAAUUUUACAACUAAAGAAAGAAAUACUUAAGUGUUUAGAAAUCGGGACGGAUAAAACCGUUUCAGAAAUGUUAAGGAUUAUUAGGAACUCCUCCGGCACAGUAGGUGGCGCUCAUGUGUUGGAUGCUUUCCGGUUCAUAUACACAACUCCACGUGCGAAUUUAAUAGCAGAGUGUUUGCAAUAACAUCUAAUCUCGUGGUAAUGGCGACCUGCGAAGUCUGUCAGGAAGAGGUUUCCAAGUAUCGCUGCCCGUGCUGCAUCAUCAGAUAUUGCUCUGUGAACUGCUACAAGAGUCAUAAAGAUGUCUGCAAUCCUAAGAAAAGUUCAGUUUCUCAUUCUGAAUGUCCAGAUAUUGCAACACCAUGUCAAAAAUUGAAGACCUAUAAAGACAAAGAAACUGCAUGGUCCGUUAAAGAUCUUCUGAAAGAUGAGUCUGAUGUUGUUCCACAACAGAACCUGAAACUUUUAGGUCAAUCUACAGGAUUGAAAGACUUGCUUCAUAAUCCUCACCUCAGGCAACUGUUAAGAACUGUAGAUGAAGCCGAGAACAAGGAGGUUGUCAUGAAAGCUGUAAUGCAGGAACCUUUGUUUGUGGAAUUUGCAGAUUGCUGUCUGAAAAUUGUGGAACCAGCAGAAAAAGAAAAUGCUGUUCCUGGUGAUUAAAAACACAAUUGUGGACAAUUAGAGCUGAAUUUGGUCAUGUCUGUGUGCUAGUGCACGAGUAGUUGAGGUGUUAAACCAUCUAAGCCUAUGGCAGCACACAGCUGAUUGAGGUGAAGUUGAUGCUUUGUUGACAAUUGUAUGCAUCCAAAUGGCAACUAUAUUUUCUUUUAUAUAUAAAAAAAAGUGAAAUUUCUGAAUUUUCUGUGAAGCUGCCACAUUUAUUAACAACAUUUUUAAAUGAGGAACUCUAGAGAGAGGAAUUAGGUUUGGAAUUUUCAGGAUUGUGGACCAUGACCAGUGCUGGUAAUCUGCUUACAGUGCCACCUCAAAGUCAGUCACCUCCAGAGUCUGUAGGAGUGUGCAGUCCUGUGGUGGUGGGGUCCCUAAAUACCAGGCUGUGGUAACACUUUGUGCAUCUUUAAGAUAUUGUUUUGAUGCAAUAAACCAAUUGGCUUUCAACUGGGGGCUUCACCCCCCCCCCCCUUUUUUUUUUUUGCAAGAAAUUUUCAUAGAAUUUCUCCUGGCAGAAUUACAAAAUACAUAAACUUGUAAUAAUUACGAAUAGACCUGUUGAUUGUAAAUUGGAGAGUAUUUUAUAGUUUUAUAAAUGUGAGUGCAAAGCAGGAUGAUGUGUUGAAUACUGAUUGAAAAUGUUUGCACUACACGUUCUGGUUAGGUGAUGGCAGUAGCACUCUGCAGUGUCCAGGUAAGGAAUUUUAAAGGAGAACAUUACAUAAAAGGUGUUUCUUAAAGUGUACCUUCCUAGAGGUAAAUUGAAUUUAUUUCAAGGCUCAAAAUCCUCAAAGACAAUGUCCUAAACUGUAAUAUUAGGCAAUCCCCCACUGUUCACCCCCAACUCCACAAGUCAAAUUUUUUGGUUCCAAAGUGGUCUAGUGUCUCUUCCUGACAAAAUGGGAUAUGUGUCCAAAAUAUGGUUGAGAUUGGACCAGGGGUGUGGAGUUGUAUAAACAACAAACCCCCACACAGACCUUUUAUAUUGCAACAAUGGUUGUGUACUGCCCUCCUUAAGAGUUUGUUUCCUGCCAAAGACAGUGCCUCCAUGCCUUUUUAUUUGCAGAAGGGAAGUUUUCAAGGGCAGCAUGGAAGUCCAUCAGCCUUUGUGGUUAAGAUGGGCAAUGCGAUAUGAAGUUGCUUUCUAUAUGGAUGACGUCCUCUUGGACAAUCCUCAUUUUAAAAUAUCACCUCUCUGUUAGUCAAACUCUUCAGUAGCCUCUUGGGUUACUAAAUUAAUUCUGACAAAUCCAAACCAAUACCUUCAGGACAUCUGAAGUUAAAGUCACAUUCCUUUCCAAAUUAGCACUUCAGCCUGGUCAUGACAACAGUGAAAGACCACAGUAAGUGGAGAGGUUUGACAGUUUCAUGCUUCAGAACAGAGAAGUCCAAUAAAAAUGUCAACUUCAAAUACUUCACUUUUAAUCUCCUUUUAAACUAAAGAGUCUCUCUUAAUCUAAGGCUUACCUGUCAUUAGGAAACAACACAACUUUGCUUUAGGAAGUUAUGGAUUUCCUGUGGCACCAGUUGAAUGUUUAUAAUUGCUCCUGCUAUGUUCAUUUAUUUCGGUGGGUUCAUGAAGACCUUAGUUCAGAGUUAUGUGUUUUGGAUUGUUAACUUUCUUGAUUUUGCAAUAUGUUGUAGAAUCGUGGACUGUUGAAUUUGCAGUAUCAGUUUACUAAAUGGAGACCUAGAAAUUAAAGGAGAUGAAACAUGUUUAUCUGUCAAAACAAUUUUUUCAAUUUGGGGAUAUUAAUUUUUUAAAUAUUUUCUUGAUAGAAAAUGUUGUCUUGUUAAAAUAAUGGGGAAAAUUCCAUCAGGCCUGCUUAAUACUGUAAUGCAAAUAUUUAAAUUCAGACUGAUGACCAUGGGUAAUGUCACUGUGCUCCAGAACUGUUCAGUGCUGAAGGGCAAAGGCUCCCUGCUCCCUUGCUAUGGAUAAGCGGGUUAGAAAAUACUGUAGGUGAGAAGUCAGAAAAACAUGGUGAGGACCUACAGUUAACAAGUCGACACAGGAAUUGAACCCAUGGUGCUGGAUUGGUUAAGUUGCAUUGCUAGCCACUGAUCAACUGUACAUCUGUGGAGCCCAUGGCAAAGCGCGAUUUUAAAUAAAUAGGGUGCUCAGGCUUUGGAGGGGUGUAGUUGUUUGGUAGCGUGACAGAAUAUCUCCAGGGGAGUUAACUGGAGUGAUCAGCUGAUCCUGCAGAUACAUAUAGUUCAGUUGAUUGCCUUAUUAGCAUUUCAGGGUCUGUCUUCAGCAAACCUGAUCUAUCUAUCUAUAUCUGUAUGUGUGUGUUAUAUAUAUUUUUAUAUUUAUUAUAUAUUAGAAGUCUGGGUAGGAAAAGGGGGGGAAAGGACAAGAAGAAAACUGUGAUUAUGUGGUUCAGUAUCACUUGUCUAACACAGUGCGACAAAGGAGGAGGCAGAGGAGCUGGUAGCCCCACGGAGCAGUGAGCAAACAGUGCUUCAGAGGUAAAUCGUCCCCCACUAAUGAGUGGAGUUGUCCUUCCUAGGGAUCCUGAAGAUGCUACAAGAGGGCAAUGAAGGACAGUUGGCUCUGAGUGGACCAGCAGACACCAAGGGAGUCCAAAAUGGGAACUGCAGCUGCUGGUGUCUCUUGUCAGCUGAGCAACCUGUUGGGUGAGCUGGGGAAACCAGUAGUGACAGUCACGCAGGGCUUGGGUAGGACAUGAGAAAGGACCCCAUCAUCUUGUGGGAGUUUUUAUAGGAUUUUAACUUGGAGCAUUUCACUCAUGUUAUGAAUGAAGAGCACUGCAUUAUGGACAUUUUUUUAUUAUCUGUGGCUAAAAGCACUGAUGACUACCUCCUACUGACUGUGUGUAUCCUUAAUUGCCCGGCCUCAUCCUCCAUUUCAUUCUCAACAGUUCCAGGUGCUCCCUUUUUCAAACGUGUUCCUGUAAUGCCCUCUUCUCAGGCUGUCAUUGUUUUGAGGUAGGAGCUAGCUUAAUUCUUCCACAUGUAAAAUUUGUAUUUAUGUUCAUGUAAAUUAUACAUUUGACUACAAAAUAUAAAUGUGAGAUGUUACAUCACCUUUAUGAAUAGAUACUGUUGAAAUG